CCUACGGGAGGCAGCAGUGGGGAAUAUUGCACAAUGGGGGAAACCCUGAUGCAGCGACGCCGCGUGAAGGAUGAAGUAUUUCGGUAUGUAAACUUCUAUCAGCAGGGAAGAUGAUGACGGUACCUGACUAAGAAGCCCCGGCUAACUACGUGCCAGCAGCCGCGGUAAU
rnacentral:rRNA from 1 species